CUCUGGUCACCGCGCGAAGUGGGAAGAUCUCCUGGAGAAGGAAAUGGCAACCCACUCCAGUACUCUUGCCUGGAGAAUCCCACGGACGGAGGAGCCUGGUAGUCUACAGCCCAUGGGGUCGCCAAGAGUCGGACACGACUGAUCGAUUUCACUUUCACUUUACUUUCCACGCGAAGUCAUAUCAGAGCACUUUCCACGUGGUGAUGGGCUGGACCACUGACUCCGAAGCGCCUCUUAGUGUGGCUGCCCUGCUUCUUCUCCUGUCUCUCCGGUUCUGCCCGGCGCGAGGCGACGCUCACUCUCUUUGCUACAAUUCACCAUCGAUCCUCAGCCCAGUCCUGGAGAGCCGUGGUGUGUGGCUCAAGGCCAGGUAG
rnacentral:lncRNA from 1 species